ensembl:lncRNA
CAGAGGACCAUGUGAGAGCAUCACAGGAAUGCACUGAACUUGGAGACAGCUAGGAUUAUUCUCAAGAAAAAUCUCUAAAAGUCUCACUUUGAUACCACUGGCAAGGUUGAAACUGUGAAACCCAGUGAAAGCUUUUGAGAGGUGAAGACAAAGUGCAGAUAAACAGGUGUGUGUCUACAAGAUGAAUCUAGAAACCCAGAGGAGGAGGAGUGAGCCAUGGUCUGCAGAAUUGAUAAGUGCAGAUGGAGGGAUAGAGCCAGGCUGGCUGGAAGACAGCACAGCUUUAUUCUACCAAGACGGUCUCAGAUUGCCAGGAGCCGCUCCAGAAGCCAAAGCAAGGGCUCUGCCCCUUAUGAACUGUUCUAUCCAAAGCCUAGCUUCUUAAUACCAUCACCCAGGACAUCGGGGUUUCAGCAGAUGAACAUUGGUGGAAACACACUUGAAUCAUCAAAGGAAGUGCUUGUGAGAAUGCUUAGAACAGCGGAAGUCCACUGGAGUGUCUUCUCAUUCCGUUCACUACUCUCAGAGCAAUAAAGAUGCGCAGUACUUGCUAUAGGCG